UACGUAGGGACCGAACGUUGUCCGGAUUCAUUGGGCGUAAAGAGCUCGUAGGCGGCUGUUCAAGUCGAACGUGAAAACUCGGAGCUCAACUCCGAGCCUGCGUUCGAUACUGGACGGCUAGAGUCUGGUAGGGGGAUCUGGAAUUCCUGGUGUAGCGGUGGAAUGCGCAGAUAUCAGGAGGAACACCGGUGGCGAAGGCGGGUCUCUGGGCCGAUACUGCCGCUGAGGAGCGAAAGCGUGGGGAGCGAACAGG
rnacentral:rRNA from 1 species